rnacentral:rRNA from 1 species
CCUACGGGUGGCAGCAGUGAGGAAUAUUGGUCAAUGGACGAGAGUCUGAACCAGCCAAGUAGCGUGAAUGAUGACUGCCCUAUGGGUUGUAAACUUCUUUUAUAUGGGAAUAAAACGUUCCACGUGUGGGAUUUUGUAUGUACCAUAUUAAUAAGGAUCGGCUAACUCCGUGCCAGCAGCUGCGGUAAUACGGAGGAUCCGAGCGUUAUCCGGAUUUAUUGGGUUUAAAGGGAGCGUAGGUGGAUUGUUAAGUCAGUUGUGAAAGUUUGCGGCUCAACCGUAAAAUUGCAGUUGACACUGGCAGUCUUGAGUACAGUAGAGGUGGGCGGAAUUCGUGGUGUAGCGGUGAAAUGCUUAGAUAUCACGAAGAACUCCGAUUGCGAAGGCAGUUCACUGGACUGCAACUGACACUGAGGCUCGAAAGUGUGGGUAUCAAACAGGAUUAGAUACCCUUGUAGUC